rnacentral:rRNA from 1 species
CAAUAGCGUAUAUUAAAGUUGUUGCAGUUAAAAAGCUCGUAGUUGGAUUUCGGGGCAGCCUGGCUGGUCCGCCGCAAGGCGAGUACUGGUCAGCCGCCCUUCCUCUCGAAAGCCCCGACUGCUCUUUAUUGCAGUGGUCGGGUAGUUCGGGACGUUUACUUUGAAAAAAUUAGAGUGUUCAAGGCAGGCCUACGCCUGAAUACAUUAGCAUGGAAUAAUGGAAGAGGACCUCGGUCCUAUUUUGUUGGUUUCCAGGACCGAAGUAAUGAUUAAGAGGGACAGUUGGGGGCAUUCGUAUUUAAUUGUCAGAGGUGAAAUUCUCGGAUUUAUGAAAGACGAACAACUGCGAAAGCAUUGGCCAAGGAUGUUUUCAUUAA